CGUUCUCCAGAUUGGUGAUCGUCGUCUUCGGCACGGCUAGGCCGAGCGCGGCGCAGGCAUCGGCCGUUUCCGCCACGGUGAGGCCGGC
rnacentral:tRNA from 1 species